rnacentral:rRNA from 1 species
AUGAGAGGCAACAAUGUCAAGACCUUGGCGUUGAUGCUCGUAGUUGUGGGUCUUGUGGCACUCCAGCAAACCCAGCAAGUACAAGCAUCCCACUGUUGUUGCCAUCUAGACUCCGUCCCUACCUACUUUAAGUGCCGCGAGAAAUCUGAUAGCACCGUCUCAGAGUGCUGCGGUUCUUCUGAUGGCUAUAUAUCAGACGCCGCUGGAUUUGAAUGCAAGUCCGGUUUUAUAGAUAUAGAGACAGCACUGCAAGCAGCCGUCAACUACUGCAAGCUGGGGUGCAAGGCUUCCUUGUGCAACAAAGUAACUCCAUCUGGUAAGGAUGUAGGGAAAGAUGCCAUGGAACGCUGCACUAGUGGAUGCCACGAUCUGUGCACCAAGAACAAUGCCGAAAUUGCGCAAGUCGUCACAGCUUAA